rnacentral:rRNA from 1 species
GGUUGAUCCUGCCAGUAGUCAUAUGCUUGUCUCAAAGAUUAAGCCAUGCAUGUCUAAGUACGUGCCUUUACAAGGUGAAACCGCGAAUGGCUCAUUAAAUCAGUCAUGGUUUACUAGACCGUUCUAUCCUACUUGGAUAACUGUGGUAAUUCUAGAGCUAAUACAUGCCAAGAGUCUCCUGCCCUUGUGGCUCGAGCGCUUUUAUUAGACCAAAACCAAUCGAGUACUUGUGCUCGUUAGUUUGUGGUGACUCUGGAUAACUUUGAGCAGAUCGCACGGUCUUUGUGCCGGCGACGUAUCUUUCAAAUGUCUGCCUUAUCAACUGUCGAUGGUAGGUUACUUGCCUACCAUGGUUGUAACGGGUGACGGGGAAUCAGGGUUCGAUUCCGGAGAGGGAGCCUGAGAAACGGCUGCCACAUCCAAGGAAGGCAGCAGGCACGCAAAUUACCCACUCCCAGCACGGGGAGGUAGUGACGAAAAAUAACGAUGCGGGACUCUUACGAGGCCCCGUAAUCGGAAUGAGCACACUUUAAAUCCUUUAACAAGGACCUAUUGAAGGGCAAGUCUGGUGCCAGCAGCCGCGGUAAUUCCAGCUUCAAUAGCGUAUAUUAAAGUUGUUGCGGUUA